CAGUCCCUAGUUAAACUUGUUUGAACAAUGGAGGGACGCAGGAGGCUAAGGAAUGCACCCGAUUGGAAGUGGGUGUCCAAGCCGUAAGUCUGAAGUCGAGUCAAAUGCUUGAUUUCUUAAGGACAAGCGGUGA
rnacentral:rRNA from 1 species